UUUCCGUAGGUGAACCUGCGGAAGGACCAUUAUUGUAUAACCGAGGUGCGAGGGCUGUCGCUGACCCGAAAGGUCGUGCACGCCCGAGUGCCCUCACACACAUCCAUCUCACCCCUAUGUGCACCACCGCGUGAGUCCCCCUUUGGCUUGUUCGGAGGGGGGCUUACGUUUUCACACAAACUUUGUAUGCAGUGUAGAAUGUAUUUUUUGUUUUUGCGAUCACGCAAUCAAUACAACUUUCAACAACGGAUCUCUUGGCUCUC
rnacentral:misc_RNA from 1 species